rnacentral:rRNA from 1 species
UACAGAGGUGGCAAGCGUUGUUCGGAAUUACUGGGCGUAAAGGGCGCGUAGGCGGCCAUCUAAGUCAGACGUGAAAUCCCCCGGCUUAACCUGGGAACUGCGUCUGAUACUGGACGGCUCGAGUAUGGGAGAGGGAUGUAGAAUUCCAGGUGUAGCGGUGAAAUGCGUAGAUAUCUGGAGGAAUACCGGUGGCGAAGGCGGCAUCCUGGACCAUUACUGACGCUGAGGCGCGAAAGCUAGGGGAGCAAACGGG